UGACCUCGGAUCAGACGUGAUUACCCGCUGAAUUUAAGCAUAUUAUUAAGCGGAGGAAAAGAAACUAACAAGGAUUCCCCUAGUAACGGCGAGUGAACGGGGAAGAGCCCAACACCGAAUCCCUUGGCGCAAGUCAACGGGAAAUGUGGUGUUAAGGUAGCCCUUCGUGUCAGUCUAGGCGUCUCAAGUCCACCUGAUUGUGGCUCAAGCCCAGAGAGGUGUAAGGCCCGUAGAGACGCUCCGACUGAUUCCUGGGGUUUACCUACGAGUCGGCUUGUUUGGGAAUGCAGGCCAAAGCGGGUGGUAAACUCCAUCCAAGGCUAAAUACUGGCACGAGUCCGAUAGCGGACAAGUACCCGUGAGGGAAAGUUGAAAAGAAACUUUGAAGAGAGAGUUCAAUAGUACGUGAAACCGCUUAGAGGCAAACGGGAUGGUGCUCAUACUGGCCUGAGGAAUUCAACUGUGACGGUGGCUGGACGAGCUGGCGUUCCGAUCUCUCUUUUGGGACGGGCGUCGGUUUGGCUAUCAGCUCCGACAUGGUGCACUUUCCUUGGUGCCUCCGCCACGACCGACGACACUGGCUACCGCGGCUGGGGUAAGGUGACAAACUGCUUCGGCAAUUUUGUGUUAUAGACCCCGGCGUCGGACAUGGUUUGGCCAGGACGUCGAGCUUGCGGCGCCGCCUCCUUGUGGGCUCGCAUGUUGGCUAGCUUGGCUGCCCGCCGAUGCUUGCACUGGACAACCAGUACAGGUGACGGUUGUGGUCUUGUCUCUAGUUGGCCUCUGCGAGUUUUGCGCGGCUAUAGUCUUGGUGUGGUGUACUGUGGUGUGGGUUAGACUAUCCGACCCGUCUUGAAACACACGGACCAAGGAGUCUCUAACAUGUGGUGCGCGAGUCAUGGUCCGGAUUCUACGAAACCCAAAGGGCGCAGUGAAAGUAAAGGCCUGCUUCUUCUCGUAGCUGAGUGGGUGUGCAUCUGCGCAUUGGCGGAGCGCACCACCGGCCCUCUCCUAUCUGUCUCUCGGUCAGUGGGGCGGCGCAAGAGCGUACACGUUGGGACCCGAAAGAUGUGUGAACUAUGCUUGCGCAGCUCGAAGUCAGUGGAAACACUGAUGCAUGAGGAGCGCAGCGUUUUCUGACGUGCAAAUCGAUCGUCAAACGUGAGUAUAGGGGGCGGAAAGACUAAUCGAACCAUCUAGUAGCUGGUUCCCUCCGAAUUUCCCUCAGGAUAGCUGGCACUCGGGAAACAGUUUAUCCGCGGUAAAGCGAAUGAUUAGAGGCAUUUGGGGUCGAAACGACCUCGACCUAUUCUCAAACUUUAAUGGUGUAAGAUGCUCGUCUCGCCUUUUAAUUGGAGGCGGGCUUCACUCUCUCUAUAACAAACGUGAAUGUGAGUGCCCAGUGGGCCAUUUUGGUAAGCAGAACUGGCGCUGUGCUGUGGAAUGAACCAACGCGCGGUUAAGGCGGCCCAAUGCCAAUGGCGGGACGCUCAUGAGACACCACAAAAGGUGUUGGUCGAUCGAUACUGACAGCAGGACGGUGGCCAUGGGAAGUCGGAACCCGCUAAGGAGUGUGUAACAACUCACCUGCCGAAUCAACCAGCCCUGAAAAUGGAUUGGCGCUGGAGCGUCGCGGCCUAUACCGUGCCGUUGGGGCGAAGCAGACAAUAAUCUGUGUGGAUGUCCAACGAGUAGGAGGGUCGCCGUGGGUGAGCGCAGAAGGUGCGGCCGUGAGGCGCUGGAGCCGCACGCCGGCGCAGAUCUUAGGUGGCUAGUGCAGUAUUACGUGGUCAAGUGAGAACCUUGAGGACUGAAGUGGAGAACCGGGUCUCCAGUGAGGUGAACAGUCCAGUGACAUUGCAGUUCAUGGCGGUCGCGGUCCUAAGCGAUCGGGUAACUCCGUACCUAGACGAGGGUGACAACUAUCACUGAUAAUACUGUGAAGUGUUAUAGCCCUCCGGAGCGAAAGGGAAUCGUGUUAAUAUUCACGACCCUUACCGUGGAGAUCGCCCCUUUCGGGCUCGGACCAAUUUCGGGGGCAGAAGUUGCGCGGUAACGCGCAACGAACACAGAGACGUCGGCUGGAGCCCGAGCGCCGCGGAAGUCUGUUUCUCUUUCUUUGUAAGGAGCGUACCCCCUGGAAUCGGCUUGUCCGGAGAUAGGGGCGUGGCUUCCGUAAAGCAGCGCGGGGUCUUGCGGCUGUCCGGUCGGCACUCUUAGUCGGCGCCUUGAAAAUCUGUGGGAGACAGUGUGAUUUUCACGGUAGGCCGUACCCAUAUCCGCAGCAGGUCUCCAAGAAGGUGAACGUGAGCAGCUCUAGUCCCUAGAACAAUGUAGGUAAGGGAAGUCGGCAAAAUGUGGAUCCGUAACUUCGGGAAAAGGAUUGGCUCUGAGGGCGGUGGGUCGCGAUGGGCUGUCGCGUAAGAAGCUGUUCCGGUGCUCUUGGUGAGGGACUGGGACUGGGUGAGGCUUUCGGGCUUUACUCGGACCAUGCCGAGAC
rnacentral:rRNA from 1 species